AUUGAACGCUGGCGGCAAGCCUAACACAUGCAAGUCGAGCGGAUGAAGGGAGCUUGCUCCUGGAUUCAGCGGCGGACGGGUGAGUAAUGCCUAGGAAUCUGCCUGGUAGUGGGGGAUAACGUCCGGAAACGGGCGCUAAUACCGCAUACGUCCUGAGGGAGAAAGUGGGGGAUCUUCGGACCUCACGCUAUCAGAUGAGCCUAGGUCGGAUUAGCUAGUUGGUGGGGUAAAGGCCUACCAAGGCGACGAUCCGUAACUGGUCUGAGAGGAUGAUCAGUCACACUGGAACUGAGACACGGUCCAGACUCCUACGGGAGGCAGCAGUGGGGAAUAUUGGACAAUGGGCGAAAGCCUGAUCCAGCCAUGCCGCGUGUGUGAAGAAGGUCUUCGGAUUGUAAAGCACUUUAAGUUGGGAGGAAGGGCAGUAAGUUAAUACCUUGCUGUUUUGACGUUACCAACAGAAUAAGCACCGGCCAACUUCGUG
rnacentral:rRNA from 1 species